UUCACAAUGUUUAUUAGUGACAAACUUCAAAAUGAGAACUCUUCCAAGCCUCUGGAUUCCAAAUUCUGGUAUAACAUCAAACUUACUCUCAAUAUUACAGAAGAAAAGUUUCUUCCAUUACCACAUCUAAAGCUGUCUACAAGGUUCCUGUUGAGUGUCCAGAAUUAAAACAGCCUUGUGGAACAAAGCAACUGAGGAUAAUCCCUGGGGAGCAUGUUGUAUCUUAUAAGGCCAAUCAUGUUAUCUACUAAACGAUACUUGAAGGAGUCUUGGCUUUGAAAAAAGAUCCACUGUAUGGUGAAGCAAAGAGUGGAAGGAACCAUACAUAGGAAAAGGAAGAAAUAAUGACUGAUCAGAACAACUAUUCCAUCGGGAAUCAGAAAUCCAUUUCAAUACCAAAAACCAAAUCAAAUUAACCAAAUCAGCCCGAACCAAAAAUAUUCUACAUUCAAAUUAAAGUUCUUUCAGUUGCAUUAUACAAAUAUCAUGAUAGAAAGCCAGGAAGAAUUCUUACUCAUUAUUUUGCACUGAAAGUUUUGAAUAUUUUUAAAAGCACCGAUUUUUCAUUUUGUGA